CGGCAGCGCUUCGCCCAGGCAGAAUUGUCAUCUGCUCUGCAAACUUUGAGAUAUGCAAUACAGUCUCUGUUUCUGAAUCCUAUUAGCACAAACCACUCUGGGGCAGGAGUCCAGGGGCACGGGGAAGGAACAAAAUUAAGGGACUUUCUGGUCCUCUGGGUUUCAUCAAUUGGGGGAGGGUGCAGCUCAGAGCAGGGUGGGCCUAGGCGGCCAGGGCGCCUACCUACCCCCAGUUACUACAUCAGACCCUGCACAUCCCACCGAGGGCGGGAGCCUGCGGGGGAGGGGGUGCCAGGUGGGGCGGGUCCAUAGACCCUCGCAGGCCGGAGGGCGCAUGCGCACCUUUUGGCGGGAAGAAGACCCCUCCCCCAUCCUUGCCGUCCCAACUGCCUGCCUUGGCGAAGGGGAGGGACAGCCAAGCCACUCCCGCCAGAAACCCUGAGCCCAGCUGCAGUACGGGGCGGGGCAUGGCGUCCCCACAUUCCACGGGAACACCUGAGUGGCACCCGCGGUGGCGGCUUCCGCCCUCCGACUGGGCUGGGUGCGGUGCUGCUCGGGCCCAGCUGCCGAGUCAGGUGCGUCCAGAUGGCAUUCCUUACCCUGGUGUUCCAACCCACCCUGACUCGCCGAGCUGCCACCGGAGCCAGGAAAGAUGGGCUGGGGGGCGCGGGGUGCUGCGGGUGCAGGGAGGGGGUGGCGAGCGCACCGUCCACAGAGAAGGACGUCCUGCGCCCCGCCCCCCGCACUCUUAGACCCUGCUCAGUGGCCGAGCUUUAAGUGCUGGACUCUACCCUGAUCGCUGGCUGCUUGUGGAGUGCCCUUGAAUUCCAGGAGCACUAGCUAUCUGUUGUUUAUUGCAAAUGUAACAGAAUUUAUCAUGGUCUGUGCACAUGGGUGAGAAGAAGAAUUUCCAGACUCAGGAAAAUGAAAAGAAAAAGGAGUUUAAGAUGAGAGGUGCUGCAAUUGCAGAAGGAUGACUUCCUGAUUAUCAGGGAAAGCCAAAUCUGCUCCUUUUCUGAUUGGGGGACAUUGACUUUGGCAUCAGGAGAGGACACUGACAAGGAACUGCAAAAUCCCUGGGACCUUUUUUUUGGGUAGAGGAACAUUGCAGACUUCCUUCUAUCAGCAUCUUUACCCAAUCACCUCAUCUUCCACCUGGCCUACUUGUCCCUGAAAGCUCCAGCCUGCGUUAACCAUCAUCUGUUAGCGAUUUUCAAACAGCGAGACAGAACCUGGACUCCUCACAAAUCCAGUUCCAGACAUACCAGUUCUGGUGGAGGCAGCUGCCAGGCCUUGGCCAUAACCUUGACCUGAUCUCUCAUGUCUUCACAAAGGCACAGCCCCUGAAGUGGGGAGGUCUCACUGCUUCGAGGACAAGCCAGUUUGUACAUUUGAAUAUACAAAAUAGAUGAGUAAUCACAAAGUCUUCUUCCAAUGUUUUAAAUGUAUUGGGUGUCUAUUUGUGAUUCUACUUUAAUAAAAGCCUUUUUUGGGCAAACAAAUCAUUUACAUAUAAUAAACCAUGUAUGGUAUAUAAUAUACAUUAUAAUUAUAUGUAAUAUAUAAUAUAAUUAUUAUACAUUAUUUUUGAUUCAACAUAUAAUAUAUUUUUAUAUUUAUAUGUUCUAUAAAUAUAUAUUUAUGUUAUGCAAUUUACUAUAUAUAUGGUUUUCCAUAUAUAUACCAGAGCCAGUGAAACAUCUGCAUUUUUAUAGGAAAUCUUUAUACAGGUGAUUCUUGCAAAUUUAACCUUGAUAAAGUCAGUCAUAGUCAUGAAUUUUUUGGUUUGUUUCUAUUAUGUGUCCUUUGUCCUAGGUCAGCUUCAUAAUUUCAUGGUGUCUGAUGAAGAAGCCAUGAGGAAAGUCUGUCUGCCUGCCUAUCACAGGAGUUAGGGGAUGCAUGAGACAGAUUUUUAUGUUUUUUUGGAACACUUCAGCAGCAAGACACUAGCAGCCCCACAACCAGCGAGAAGAAGAUGGCCCAGAGCUUCUCCAACUCCUCAGAGGAAUCCGACUUGGAUACCUCCAUGGAAGAAACCAUACGUGAUACUAUCUGGGCCAGAGCGGAGAAGCCCAGCAGUGCCAGGAGAGCCUGGGCAACUCACCAGUGAACUUCCUCAUCAAGAAGCUGCAGCAGAUGGUGAGCCAUCCCCUGGUCAAGCCUGACCUGAACUCGAGGUACCUCUGGUCAACCCCUGCUCAGCCAGUCAUGCUCCAGUACCUACCCUACCCACCCUUUCCUGCUAAUCCCUCUUCCCUUCCAGCAUCAGGUGGCAGUGCCCAGACCACUCUGUUUACCAAGCACCUACUCCCUACCAGGGGAGGCCAAGCCUUGGGGGCACAGAAAUCAGUCUUACAGAGGCCACAUGCGCAGAGAAUGUCUUAGCAGCACAUGGGCCCUCAGUCCCCAGGUGGGCCCUGCCUCUUCCCCCUGUAUCUCUGUGACCCCUGCUUCCUGGGGUGUGCAAGUUCUGUCUGGUGUGCCCUUCCCUGCACUGCCUGAUGGUCACCUCCUGGUUGUCCCUUGAGGCCCAGGCAUGAUGUCAUUUGCUGCCUUGCUUUCCUGAAGCUCUUGAGGCUGCUUCUUGCCUGCAGUCCCUCGAGCCCCCCCCCCCACCAUGCACUUGCUUGGUUCCUGUGGAUCCUUCCUGCCAGGGCCACCUCUCCCACCCACCAAGUGUUGGCUUGUGGGGCAUGGGCAGGGCUGGGGUCAUGACCCUGCUGUGUGUGGCACUUUUGCAGUAGGCGCUCUGAAUAGCUCACUGGAGGACCCAAGUGGGGCUCCCAGGCCCUGCCAUCCCUGGGCUUUAUAUGGUGGUAAAGGGUGAAAAAGUAAUCUGGGUGGGGGGUGCUUGUGAGGAGGGUUCUUCCCGGCCAUGGUUCCUUUUUGGCAGGGCCUUGGAGGACCAAGAAGCCCUUCAUCCUGUGGAUGGCAGGUUACAGGGACAUUCUGAAGCCUGGGUGGGCAGUGCCUGGCAGUAGAAAGAUAGGACCAGGUAUGGGGUGCAGUGUGGUGAGUGGACCCACUGGGUUGGGCUUGGAUGGACUUCACUCCCCACCUCUGCUGCAUGGAGUCCCUGCACAGGGUCUGGCUGGUGGAUGCAGCAUCUGGGCCCAGUGGGAAGCUGGGGUGUGUUGGCCCACAGUCAGGCCAAAUGGGCACCUCUGGGUGGGAAUCCUUGUCUCCUGGGAUCAGGUAGGUGCUUGGGGUGUCAGGGCAGCUUUCUGCCACAGGACUAUGUGGAGUGGGCUCUCCUCUGGUAGGCUCAGGUUCAUCUCUUGACUUCUUAGUGCCUAUAUCCUUCAGUCCCCAUGGGUCUUGGUGUGCCCAUGAGGACCCCUCAUUUCAGAGUCAGGUGGAAGGAAGUGGGAGAUGUAUGACUGGGAUAUGAGUGGCCAAGAUGGGUGUAGACAGACUCUCAGGUGCUCCAGAUGGAUCCAGGGGCUCUGUCCAGCCUGUGUACUUGAAGGCCCUGAUGGGGGAGGGGCUGCCAUGAAGAUCAGAGGGACUGGCAGGGAGGCCUGCUGCACCACCUCCUGGCCAUUUGGCACAGGUGUGGCACUUGGCCUCUGACUGGAAUCCAUCUCCUAGAGUCUGGGGGUCUAGAGAGUUGGCUCUGCCUGAGGUCUCUGGAAGGGGCUCAAGCAGGGAAGCCCUGCUCCUGGCCUGCUCCCAGCCCUGCUCUCUGGGUAAGGGCUCUCCCUGGGCUGAAAGUGCUGUCACCUGUCAUUUAAGGGCAAGGUCAUAUGGCCCCACCUUUUAGGGGAAGCUCAGGCCUUGGGGCCACCCUGCAGCAAAGACAUGGGAAGUGUGCAUUCAGCUGUUCUUUCUUCCAUGUCAUCGAACAGUUUUAUGAAAGUUACACGAUUAUUAUAAAGACCUCAAGCUGUAUGGGAAAGCACAGAUGCCAGCACCAGAAGUGGUUGUCAGUAAUGUUUCAUGAACAUUCCAGAUGUGCCUCUCCAAAGGGUUACAGGUAAUGGGUGGCCAUGUACAGAUAGAAAUACGUGGGUAAGUGUGGGCUCAAUGUACACACAAUGUUAAUAAAUCAACAAUAAGAUGAUGUGAAUUGAACAUAAAAGGAGAAAAAGUCAGUGUAGGAACUGCUGCACUUUAGUGAUUUUUUUUUUGCCAGAAGAGAUUCUUUCUGGAUAAAUCUGUAAAGUUAAAAGAAACAAUGAAUAAAUACGGGAAGGCUAAAUUCUUAAUUUUUUUUAUUAUAAUCUUUCCUCUUCUCUUAUUGCUGUACAAAACUUAGCAUUCUCUCCAUGUAUGGUUUGGGGUAGAUUAAUCUGAUUGCUGUGAUAAACAGGCCUCUAAACCUCAGGUACUUAACACAGAGGUUUCCUUUCUUGGUCCACUGGGGAUUUGCAGGAAUGAAGAGGUGGUGGUUCUGCUCCAUGCAGCCAUGAAGGGACACAGGCUGCAUUGGUUGGGUAGCAGGGACAUUCCCUGGACCCUGGAAUCCUCCACAGUAUCUCCUGUGUCUACCCAGAGGAUGAGGGAGGGGAAAGAGAGAAGUCAUGGAUCACAACUGUCCUCCUACCUUCCCUCACAUCCUCUAGAGGCUAUUCUUGACCUGUGUUCCUGAUCUGGGCUCCUGACCCAGGCACCUGACCCAUGCACCUGACUGCAUGCAUCUAACCUAUACUAACCCACCUAACCCAUACUCUUGACCCAGGCAACUGACCCAUGAACCUGACCCAUACUAACCUACCUAACCCAUACUCUUGACCCAGGCUCUUGACCCAUGCUUUUGACAGCAUUCCCCUGACCCAUGCUGCUGACCAUAUGCACCUGACCUAUGCUUCUGACUUUCAGAGACUGAGGAAUAUAGUUUAGCUUUUGUUCCAAGAAAGAAAAUGUCACUAUCAGUGUGUACACAGGCAUCUACUGUGUGGCCUUUAUUUCUCAUCAGAGAACAAAGAGAAAGACCCACAUACCGUUGGCUCUUCAAAUCGGUGUGGUUCAUGCAAUGAAAUAAUGCUCCAAAGAAGGGGAAAAUCCUCCACAAGGAACAGAGAACCCCAUUGAUCCAGGAAAUGUGAAGUGUCCAUUUCCACUGGUGCUCUGUAUCUUCUCUGUGGCUUCUGAAGGAGGUGGGCAGAGAGAUGAAUGGAUUCAUGUAUAAGCAUUAUCACCAAGGUGAGUUUCAGUGAGUGAAACAAGAGAGGCAUUAGGUAUGGAUUUGUUUUCAUACAAAAUGAGUCACCAUGUGCAUGUCAAUGGCUUCCAUUUCAAAAAAGUCAUUCUUGUUGCCUCUUGUGCGAAAGAAGUGUGGAGAGGCUUGCUGUGCAAUUUCCCUGGUUGAUUUUUCAGAAGAUUCAUGAAAGAAUAGCUAAUAGUUUUACAUUCUUGACCUUUUUCUUUUCAUGGGCAAUAGAUCCCCACAGUUCAAAGGUCCAAAAAUGGAGUUUGAAGAAAAAAGUCCUAGCUAUCAGCAAUUAGUUGCACUGGUACCAUUUUUAGUCACAUUUCCUAGAUAGAGAUGUCAUUUUUGCCUAUUGAAGGACAUACAUAUGUCUUAAGUUUAAGGAGGUCUAGGAAGUGGUCUAAUAUAUGCUUUCAUUUCCUUUCCCAACAAAGGUCAUCAUGUCCUCCAAGUGGCUUGUGGUUUUGGCUUGAUAACCUCUAAAGAAAAGGAUUGUUCCAUAACCAAAUAAUUACACAGCCCAGAAGCAAAUGCAUGCUUGGGGUUUAGGCAUCCUGGCGAGCCGCUUGCAGGCUGACUUGUGUGUCUAUACUGAUGGAGCUUGGACUCCAGGUGGCCUUGGUCAGAGGACACUCAGGGGAUGAAGGGCUGUGGCUGGGUGUACCCCUCAGCUCAAAAGGCCUUGCAUGCCAAUGGCAAGAUCCAGAUGUUUCCACCUCUCAGGUAUGCAUACCCAUCCAAGCUCCACCACCUGCUCCCUUGAUGUAUGACAUCGCCCAUGUGCACCUGGCUGAUCCUCAGUAUCUCUGUGUGGACAGCAGGGACAGUCACACUCUCAGCCUCACAGGGGCAUGCAUGAGAACAUGAUUACAGACAAUAUAACAGGACAGCAAUGCCAGAUCUGAGCUGUGUCCAUGAACCAAGGAACAGGUCCCAACAAUGCUGGAUCCUUGGCCUACUGAACGACACCAAGGAAUGACCCCAUGCCCUUGUGUUUACUAGUCAGCUUCCCUUCUGCAGAGCCAUGAUGGGAACUCCUGUGGCACAGGUUUGGAAGGCCUCUUGACUAGGAUCUUCCAGAUGACAUGUUCGGACAAAGCACAGACAAUGCCAAGGUGUGAGGUGGCGGGGAGUAUCCUGCUUCUUAGGCACUGCACUUUGAGAGACUAGGUUUUGGUGUUUGGGGUUGACAGACAGGCCAUCUGUCAUCUCUUUCUGGCAUUGCCAAACACUGGUUCCAUGAUCCCAGGACAGGGUAACUUCCCCCAGCCUCAGGUUCCCCAUGUGACCCGUGGGAACCAUUGGAAUACACAGAUGGCUAAGGGUCCAGUAACCAAACCCAUUUGGUGGGAGGAAGCAGGCCCUUCCCAGCACCACAGGCACCACAGCUCUGCCUCUGACCAUGGGCCCCAACGGACCUGACGGAACUCUGCCAUGCAAACACACAGGUGCCUGGCAACCAGUGCAGAUGACCAUUAGGGUGGAGGGAGUGGGAGGCCCACCAGGUUCUAGAAGGCCCUUCUCUCUUAUUCCUGUGCUUCCUGCUCAGGGAUCUCACAGAAGCACUGCCUUUGUGGAGCGCCAAGGGCUGAUGGAAACCAGGAGCUGGAUGUGGCAACAGGCAAACUUUGAUGGUCAGGCAGUGUCCUGGCUCUUCUGGGUGUCGUUUUUCCAACUGGAAAAUGAUCUGACUGGUGGUAAAACCGUCAGACUUAGAUGAUUUCAACUUGUAAGGUGAUCUUUUUGUUUGUUUGUUUCAAGAAAUUCAUACCUUCAUAAAAUCCUUUCAAAUAUUAGAGAAGGGGAGGUCAUCAAAGCAGAAGGCCCCUUGUGCCUCAGCAGUAAUGGACCCAUUAAUGUCCAUGAGGAAGCGGGAUUGAACUCUGGCCUUGCUCAGUGGGUUAAGGAUCCGUGAGCUGUGGAUUAGUUGGUAGACCCAUCGCGGAUUGUGGGUGGCCAAGGCCAUGGUGGUGGCAUAGGCCAGCAGGAGAAGGUCUGAUUGACCACCAGCCUAGCAACUUCUCCAUGCUGUGUUUGGGGCCAGAAAAUAAAGAUAAAAUCUACCUUUCUAAAAAAUCUAAAAGAUACACAUUGCCUCCUGUUAUUACUGAGGCACUGAAGUAACGAAUCUUCGCAUCUUUGCCCAGGGCAUACGUUACUAAGUCGAUUUUAACUGAAGCAUGAUAUCCAUAGAAUUCCUAUAAAGAUGUACACAGGGAUCUACCGUGUGACCUUUAUUUCUCAUCAGAGAAUGAAGAGAAAGACCCAUUCCCUGCUAGCUCUGGAAAGAGUUGCGGUUCAUGCAAUGAAAUAAUGAUGAAAAGAAGGGGAAAAUCCUCCAUAAGGAAGAGAGAACACCAUUGCUCCUGGAAAAGUGAGGUGUCCAUCUGCACGGGGGCUCUGUAUCUUCUGUGUGGCUUCUGAAGUAGGUGGUAGAGAGAUGGAUCGACUCAUGCAUAAGCAUUACCACAGAGGGGAGUGACGGGAUCUACUGUGUGGCCUAUAUUUCUCAUCAGAGAAACAAGAGGGAGACACACUCCCCACUGGCUCUUGAAAUCGUUGUGGUUCAUGCAAUGAAAUACUACUGAGAAGAAGGUGAAAAUCCUCCAACAGGAACAGAGAACAUCAUUGCUCCUGGAAAAGUGAAGUGUCAGUCUGCACGGGUGCUCUGUAUCUUCUGUGUGGCUUCUGAAGGAGGUGGGCAAAGAGAUGGAUGGGCUCAUGCAUAAGCAUUAUCUCUGAGGUGAGUCAUGGUGAGUGAAACAAGAGAGGUGUUAGGUAUGGACAGGUUUUCACAUAAAAUUAGUGCCCAUGGGCAUGUCAAUGGUUACCAGUUAAAAAAAGAAAUUCAUGUGGCCUGUUGUUGGAAAGAAUGUGGAGAGGCUUGCUGUGCCAUUUACCUGGUUGAGUUUUCAGAAGAUGCAUGAAAGUACAGCAAAUGUUUUUACAUUUUUGAACUUUUUCUUUCACGAGCAAUAGAUCCCCAUAGUUCAAAUGUCAAAAAAUGAAGUUUGAAGACAAAGGCCCUACCUUCCAGCCCUGAGUAGCACUGGUACCAUUUUUUUGUCGCAUUUCCCAAAUAGAGAGUACGUUUUGGCCUAUUGAAAGAAAUACAAUGUCAUAAGCUUAAGGAGGUCAAAGCAGUGGUCUAAUAUAUGCUUUCAUUUCCCUUCCCACCAAUGGCAGUCUCUUUCUCCAACCAGAAUUUGAGUUUUGGCUUGAUAAACUCUAACACGAUGGAGGAUAAUGUGAGACAAAGAAUGUAUGUAUAUGGAUGAUGGGGUCACUUUUCUUACAGCAGAAAUUGAUGAACAUUGUAAAUCAACUAUAAUAAAACCUUAUUUAAAAAUCUACAGCAGAAUUAAAAAAUAUCUACAGCAGAAUUUUUAGGCUGAUGCCCCUGUCCCCAACUACCUGGUGUGGUCUAGGAGAGGUGGCCACUGGGGGUUGUCACUCCCUCCCCGUGGUACUUGGGCAUGUGUGGGACAACUUUGAGCCUCAGUGUCCCCUCCUGUUUAAUGGAAGCAGCCACCCUGCAUUUAAUAAAUGUCCCCAGGUCCCCAGGUGUCUGGGGUCUAUGCUCUGUACUGGGCCUGGUUUCUUUGGAGCAGGUCUUGCCCCUUUGUUCCAAUCCAGGAACACUUGUGAAAGCAACCAAUCAUGGACCUCACUCUCCUGCAAGUCUCAGAGCAGGCUGGACCAAUGUGGGACUUCCUGUGAGCUUACAGAUGGAGGGAUAGAAGCCAAGGAGAGGCCACAAAGCUGGCUUUUCCCCCACCAUCCCUUGCCUGGACCCCCCCUUCCACCUGAGCAGCUUGGCCCAGGGCAGCCCUCGCCCUCCUGGACUGCACAUGUCCUUUAUUAAGGAGGCAUAGCUUAAAACACGGUCAUGUGAGGCAAAUGGGAUAACCACUACACUACAGAAACCCUGCCCACAUGAACAAAAGAAAAGUCAACAACCAUAUGAUCAUCUCAAUAGAUGCAGACAAAGCAUUUGACAAAGUCCAACAUCCAUUCAUGAUGAAAACUCACCAAAGUGGGUAUAGAGGGAACAUU